ACAAUUAGAAUGUAAUACUUUGAUGACCUCUGUUGCGUCCGUUUCCACCACUAGUGGAGAAUAAUUGUGGCUGAAGGCGAUUGAAAGUCCUUCUUUUAGAGUUUCCAAUUUAGCUUGGAGAGGGGAGCUUGGGGGGUUGGAGUGCUGAAAACCCAUUGUCCAGUCCCCUCUAUGAUCUCUUAAAACACCACCCAUGCCUCCCGUAUUUUAUUUUUUUUGAAAGGUUCCAUCUAUAUUUAGUUUGAAAAAAUUUUGAGAAGGUUUGUGCUAUGCUAUCUUGAUAGUAUGGGAUUGAGCCGAUAAAAGUUCAUUUGUAGCGAGAAGAUUAUACUCUAAAUCUAGAGAAAUAGCAUGUGACAGAUUAAAGUUGAGGGCCAACUUAUUGUGGUUAUUGUUGUUUCUAUUUAUCCAAGUGCACCACAUGACGAAAGGGAAAAGCUUCUCCCAUGAAAGGUAAGUGAAGGGGGUAGAGGAUCUUAGGUUUCUAAUACUAUGAAUCCAUUAAGUGUUAUUGACUGCCAAUCUUUUUUUAUAUUUUUAAAUACUUUUGAAAUAACAUAUAUAUGCUUAUAUAAGCAUGUCUAAGCAUUGUAUUAUUUUUUCCAUAAUUAUUAAAGUUUUUAAACUGAUUUAUUUCCCCUUUUUCUUCCAUAAAAUCCUAAUAAUUAUCUCGUGAAUAUUAUUUUUUAUUAUUCAUCUACUGUAUUUUCAUAUUAAAGCUAAAAUAUGGCUAAGGAAAUAUUUAUAUAUUUUUUACUAUUUUAUUUAUAAAUUUUAAAGCCAAUUGCAUAAAAUUACAAUAUUAUCCAUUUUAAGGUCUAAUUGUGUACUAUGUUCAUAAAAUUGAGUCUUAUAUUUUUAAAUUGAAAUUUAUGUGUUAUAAAUCAUUUCGGCCUUUUAAAUCAAUUUUCAGACACUAUUUGCUGUUUUUUAUAAAAUAAAAAGAGAAAAUGGCUAUUUAACUCGUAUCCACAUUUGGCUUUGAAUUAUAAACUAAAUCAAGCCCCAGUUCUUCAUCCCAAUAUAUAAUUUUUACCCGACCCUAACCCUUUUAAAACAACCCAAACCCGGAUUCCCCACAUACCCUUUUAAUCUAGGCCGUUGAUCACUCAAAUCAACGACCACCACUCACCCUUCCAUAAUUAAACCCAAAUGACCCCUUAGCCUAUCUCAUUUCUCACAAUCCACCGCCCUUGAGAUCCUCUCAUCUCAAUUCUCUCAGCAGCCUCACAAAAACCCUAGCCGCCACCACCUAAUUCCUCCUUGAUUCCUUUUAAUAGCUACCUAAUCUAUGGACUCCCAUGUAGUUUUGCGAUGUGUACUCGCCUCCUAUUUCUACUGGUAACCUAUUUUUGUGAUUCAAUGGACAUAUCUCGAAGAGAUCUAGUCUAGUCUUGGUUCAACUUCGAUCUUAGCUCUUUUUCCGGUCAUCCAUGGUUGUUCAAGUCGGAUCGUUGACUUUUCCAGCUAGAUUGGUAAAUUUUUAAAUUCUUUCUCACUUUCUCUGGGUUCUUUGAAACCCUAGCAUUAACAGCUUUUUAAUUUUUCUUUCAGAUCUAUCUUAGAUAUGUACUUGUUUGAGCUUCUUAGUGUUUCUCAAAGGUUCUCUGACUUUCUUCAAAAGUAACUCUUCAUUUUCAAAUUAGGGUUUCCUAAACUUUUCUCCGAUUUUUAGUGUGUUUUCAUGAUUUUACUAUGUCUGUUCAUGUUUGCUGCUACAUGUUUCAUCGUGCUGAAAUCCCUAAGUGUUUUGGCUCUACCUGGGUUUCUACAACUCUCUUGGUAUAUUUUAUACGCAUGUUUGGUUUGAUUAUGUUCUUUGUGUUUGAACUUUUUAUCUUGUUCGACUUAUCUGAUUCUGAGUUCUUUUCCACUCAGCUCUGUUGUUAAAAACCCUAAUUUCUUAAAAUGUUUUUUAUUAUUUAUUGUUAUGACCUUGAAGACUUUACUUGUCUCUUUGUAUUGAUCUCCUUUCUAUUACUAUAUUUUCUUCACUUUUGAUUAUAUGUGACUACUUGACCUUGUUGCCUAUUUGCUUCGAGUAGGUUUCCUUACUACUAAAUCCUAGCCUACUCCUGCUACUACUAUAUGUUUUUGUUGCUUCUUUGUCAACAUGAUUUACCAUACAUGCCUAGUAUGCAUGUCCCUGCCUUGCUAUUAUACGUACAAAAUCAUGAGUCUUUCGUGGUUGAUCCCGAUUUCCUCGAAGAUGCAAUUGAUUGCAAAAUUUUUCCCAUGAACCCCAAUUUUACUCGUUUGUUUAAAUUUAUUGAUUCCCUUCAUUUAAUUACUGUGAUAUUUACCUUAAAUACUUUCCCAAAAUUAAGCAUAUUUUGUAUUUAGACUCAAUUAUUUACCUCGUACUUUUACUGCCUCCUUAUAUGGCAAGAAUCAAUCUAUCUCAAACUGAUUUCUCUCCUUAAUUAACCCUGUUAGUAUUUGUUUGAGAAUUAAUACCUUGAUUAAAGUUAAGUACUUGUGCUAGUUGAUGUUGAUUAUGAUUAUUUCCAUGUUUGUGUUAGGGAUUUACUUAUUACCUUAUUUUUCACUCGUAUUCAAAAGUAUAAAUACCAUACCAUCUUUUCUUUAAACACAUGAACAAUUGAGUUCAGAACACAUACUUACACACUCAAAACUUUUUCUUUCUCUAUUACUACUUGUGCUACUACAUAGUUUAGUCAGCUGAAAGCUAAGGCUAAACUGUAGAAUCCUGCUUAUUUUUCUUUUAUGCACUUUGUUGCUUAGACUGGUAUCUCCUAGUUUAAUUUUAUAUGUCCCAACAACAAUAUGAUGCUUUCUUUGUUUAAGUUCCUUUCACUUUUGGUCUAUUCCUACUUGUGGUUCUGUUAAAACACAUUAUCAACAUGUAAUAAUAUCCUCGUCCCUUCAAGAUCAAUGCAUUCACUUAUGUUUAUAACUUAUUGUGUACUCGCUAUCCUAUGAAUUCCAAACCCCUAUCCCCUCCAAUGUGUUGUGUUCUUCUGGCUGGAUUGUGAUCAUGCUAGUAUCGAUUAUUGGUGUGCAUGUCCAAACCAGGCCAGUGUUGGGUCGUGUGCUUACAGAUAAGUGUAUCCCCAAAAUCCCCUGAUCCCCUUCAAAUGACUACUGAUUCUGCGUAGUUUUGAGUUUUACUCCUACAACUGGUUUCAAUAUCCUCUAUUACUAAUUGCUAUUAAAAUGGACUAUCAGUCCAGCUUUUCAAAUAAAUCUCUUUCAACAUGUGUUUUGCACUUCCACUAUAUUUUUAGAAUCUAUUUUCUGCCCUUCUUGUGUGAGCAUUGCCAUAGGUCCCUUGAGCUCUUUCUGAACUUGGAAACAUAAGAGUUGGCUCUUUCACAUUUCACUCAUUCUGUUUAGUUAUGCAAAUCUGGGUGUGAGCACCCCACCGGGACCCGUUGUGGUCCUUAGAGAACUCUGACACACCCAGAUAUGAGAAAGGCUUUGGAAUAAUAUUGGCACUGAUAUGGUUCAUUGUAUAUCUCAGAGAAGAAGUCAAGAUCAGGUUUCGUAUGGCUGUAACUUCUUAUUUUAAGUCAAUCAUUUGGUUUUUAAUAUGUUAUUAACAAGUACGGGGUUGGCUAGUGAAAAUGGGUUGAAAAUAUGCAAGUUUUAGCUAUUAAAAGGUAGAAAACAUGUUACUAGGUUUUCAUUCCUAUUUUCACAAUAGAAUCCAUGCUUAGGACUCAUUUGAUGCAUUAGAAAUCAUAUUCCUUAGGAUUUACACUUAUUAUUUUCAGCACGCCCAUUAUUACUAUCACAUCAUUUGGAAAUUUCUGCGUUAAAUGUGUUAAUAACCAAUGUCUCUGCAAUCAUGUUCCUAUUGCCAUGCACACUUAGAGAUCAUGUUUUAGGCUAAACAACACUAACAAAUAUAUCAUCUCUGCAUAUCCUAAUAAUUAUUUUCUAAGCAUUGUAAUACUUGUGCAUAUAGAAAUCCUGUUUUGGGUUCUACAUAAAUAUUUCUCUGCAUCUAUGCAUAUUAGAUAUCAUGUCUUUAGGAUUUCAUUUAUAUUCACUUAAGCACAUUUAGGCUAAAUUUGAGUGCAUAAAAAAGGAAUAAAACAGUUUUACUUAAUCGUUGCAAUUAACUAGAAAUAAUUAUGUGUGUUGAACACCUAGAACAACAUAUCUAAGUAAUAAUAAUAACCUGCAAAUAUCUUAAUUAUCCUUAAUAACUACUAAAUAUUGUUCAUACCUAGGGAAAACUUAGGUAAUUAUUUAAAUAAAUUGAAACCGUAUUUGUUUAAUUAUCAUCUGCUACAACCAGCUAGCAGGCCUGAUUGGGACUUCUUUUCUGAGUUAUAUAAUAAAUCCAGUUUUGACUCAAGCACCCUGCUUUAGGAUUUUUAAAAUCCAAACCUUAAAUAUGUUUUAAGUCAUGCUGGUGAUAUGAAUUAUUUGCAGAAGUAUGCAUGAGCCUUCUAAUUGCUUACUUGUUUCUCUUCUAAACACAGUCCUAUUUGUAUGUCACCUUAUUAUUUUACCUUUAAACCUAAGAGCCAGCCUAAAACCUUCCCCUUUAUAUGCAUUGUAGUCUCAAAUUCCUUUGGGACUGAUAGGAAUGGGAAGAGUAACAACAUGCAAUAGAGAUCGAGACCAAUUCUCACUUUCAAUACCAUCAUAGAGUGAGGAGAAUAGAUAUGGAUAUGAUGACCUGUGCAAUAAUACCAUGUGCAUCCCCUCUUUUGAGGAGUGCCAGUAUUACAUUGAUUUGAUCCGUAUUACAAACAAACCUAGGACCCCUUUAUACACUCACAAGCAUGCUUAGAUCGAAACUCUUUUCAAAACCUUGCUUUUUAUUGUUUUAAACAAACACUGGUGUAUUUAAAUUCAAAAUCCCCUAUUACUUGAGCCUUGUUUCUGCUAAUUGCACAAAUUCACAAAACAAUCUGGCCAGGAACCAUACUAGUGGAUCCUAAGGGGUGCCUAACACAUUUCCCUUGGGAUAAUUUCAAGCUCUUACCGUAUCUCUGGUUGCCAAACAUAGUUAUAGUUGAACCGCAUAGGUGCCCUAACGCACCUUAAAAUCGUUAGGUGGCGACUCUUUAAAAAUUGCAUAACCCCUUUCCCAAAAGGAAAGAGUUGUCCAAACAAAAUGUUAUAAACCCGAUUUCGUGAGAAAAAGGGAGCGACAACAUGAUUACUCUGCUGGGGACUUUUUCAUCUUUUACCAUUUUAGAUUGUUCUUGUGAAUUUGUACCCCCUACCUAUGUGCAAUUAUUUGUUUAAUUCCUUUCAUCAUUUAAUUUCUUCUCUAAAAGCGAACUGACAUAUCUUCCUUUUUUUCUUUCCUUUAUUGCUUUAAAUUAUGAAACUGCUGUAUUUAUCGCUUUUGAAAUAUGCAAAUACAUGUCAACAUGCUUUUAGUUAUUGCAUAAUCAAGCUCAACAUUGUACUCCAGUCGUGCUAAAACAAAUACUAUAGCAACACUUAUAAUGAGUAGUUGCUCUAUUUCAAUAUUAUUACCCCUAAAUUCGGAAAGGCAUAUAUGCAUUAAAACUAGUCGAUCAGCGGUGCGGUCGAUAGUUCUGAGCCUUCCCCCUUAAGUUGUCUCCUCAAGGAUACUAGUCUAAAACCCCAUGGAAAACCAUACUCUGUUCAAAUUGUGCAUGCAUCAUGGUCAAACCUAGCCGGAUCGGUUAUGUUGUCCACUUAAUGAUCCAUUAAGAUAACCUUGUCCAAAGUCCAUUGGGGUUUCCUAAACCCUAACAGACAUCACCACGUUUUGUGCAUUUGUUUGAAGAUCUAGAUGCUUCAUGCUAAUUAUUGAUAUUAAAUAGUCGAGUCCGGUGGGGGUAAUGGCCUAACCUUAUUUGCCUUGCAGAAAUAUGAGGCACGAAGUCCCCAGAUUUGGCGUGGUCACCAACAUCCACCCAAGAUUGCUAAGUUGGUAGAAAGAUAUGCACUUUAGUGAAAAACAUCUUGUCAGAAUAUAGCUAGGAAAUGUACCAUACCUCUUGGAGAUCCAGCCUAACAAGGGGUUGAAGCUGGACAUUUAGCCAGAGCGUACUUGUUGCCGGAACAUUGCGAGUUGGGGAAGCUGUUCGACGGAGCCAAGGAUGCCGAAUCUGGGAAAGGUCCUUCUAAGACCAAGUAGAUAGGAGUUUACCUUUUUUCGCAUUAAAAAUGUAACAAGGCCAAUGGUCAUUAGAAACUUCUAUUUUUGUAUUUAUUUAAUUCGAUUUGGGAUUCGUCUUAUUUUUAUCAAUGAAUAAGGCAUUUAGCAUUUCAAGUUCUCCAAAUGAACUUGUACCUAGGCCUACCUCGGGCACAGUGACGUUCCCAAAUUAGGACAUUCUUUCAAUUCAUGCACAAUGUGUUUAAAUAUUGCAAU
rnacentral:lncRNA from 1 species